rnacentral:lncRNA from 1 species
GUUCUUCAUUACCUUCCAGGAGUCUGACGACAGCCAGGCGACAAAGACCUGAGAAUCCCUGCCCUCCUGCAUUCACGUGAGAGGUGACAAUUCAGAAGGAAAUACAUGUUUAAGGUCAUAUCGAAUGACAUGCUGUAUUUCGCACAGCCACGACGGGAACUCUGGAGAGGACUCUUGAUAGCAUCUAAUGGGUGGAAAGGCCUUAACUGCAAAACUGAAGUUUCCCUGUGAAAGAAGAGAUUCUGCCUGAAGAUGACAGCCUCGACUCCUGCCUGAGUUUCCAGCCAGCCUGCCUGCCUGCCCUGCAGAUUUAAGCCUCAUAAUUUAAGCCUCACAAUCACGUGAACCCAUUCUUUGAAAUGUUUCCUUCGAUAUCCACACAUACACAUACACACUUAGAUGCUUCCUAGGGUUCUGUUUGGAGUUGGUAUUUCUGUUUAUCAUCCCCUCCCCCAGAAGCAGGGUCCUGCCCGUUCCCUUCACAGCCGUGUCUCAGAGCCUAGAACAGUGCCUGGCAGUGGGAGGGCCUCAGUCACUAAGGUCUAGUGGAUGGUUCUCCAUAAUUUUUGUUUGUUUAUUU